rnacentral:miRNA from 1 species
UCAAAAGCACUUUUUGACAGCAAU